UCGACCGAGAAGAUCUAUCAGUCUGGUCGGCGGCGCGGUCUAUUUUGGGUCGGUCAGACAAUUUUGAUAACGAUAUCAGUUUGAAUGGUGAGGGAUGAUGAUGCACUUAAACUUCUACGGCUUCGAGUGCCACAUGAACAUGAACACAUUUUAGUGUGAGUGAUUCCCAGCGUGCAACUGUUGAUUGUUUUUAGGGGAAAGCGGGGUGAAACAUGAUUUACCGGCUAAUUGUAUUCUACCGGUUACUUAAGUAGCCGUUACAAAGUAGUCGUUUUCAUAUAAAAAUCAACUUGAUUGUCAAAAACUGAAGGUCCCUGAGUAGCUAGUGGCAACGAGGAAUAGCGCAAACAAUAAAAAUGUUUAAAAUCAUUUUUAAGCUACUCUUUUUAUAAAACGGCUACUUUGGAGGCCAUACUGAAGCGACCGGUAGAAUACAAGUAGCCGGUAAAUCUACAAUAUUAUUAAUUUAUGCAUUUUGUAUCCGCAUCUCUCUCAAGUGCCCCACACAAUGCAUACACUGAGGAUACUGCAACUCCGAGAAUCAUACGAACCAACUAUGGUUUUUUGCCACAAGAUUUUCUUGCGAAAAUCAUAGUUACGAACUAUGAUUUUGGAUUCAAAGCGUCAACUAUCAUUGUCAUACUGUUACUGUAUAAAUUUCAUAACACUCACGUAUGAAAAUCAUACUUAUAACGUAUAAAAACUGAAACUAUGUCUUAUGAUUAUCGUACAUAUUUUUAUGAAAUAUUUUGCACAAAUUUAAAAAAAAUCGCAACCUGGAAUCGAACCAGGAACGUCAAGGUUGGCGAGUGCGUGCUUUACUCAUUCGCCCAUCGACGCUUCGGAAGUUGAAGUGGUUAAAAGCCAAUAAAAGGUUUUGUUGUUUUGUAGCAAUGGUGUUUCAUAACACAUAUUAUGAUUUUCAUACGAUGCUGCUUAUGAGAUUUUUCAUACGACAAGUCUUAUGGAUUUCGCUUUUCAAUGUAUGAAAAGCAUACGAGAACUAUGAAAUGAUGAUGAAAUGAAAAAAUAAAAAUAACUGACUCAUAAGAUGUCAACUAUGAAAAACAUACGAACAGUAUCCUCAGUGUACGUUUGCGUGUGCGUGACAGUAGUUUGACACAUUUCCCAUCGGAAAACUGUCAAAAAAACGCAAACCUCGACGGAACGGACGUUAUGUGUUCCAGGUUUCACUCUCUUUCUCAGUCGACAGCAAGGGGUUGGAAACUCUGACACCCUAGAAGGUGUCGAAGUGUGUUAAUCGGGUGUUUUUGGGUGUUUUUCGGUGCAUUGACGUUUUUGACAAUUGAUGUGAUAGACGUCAUGUUUUUUUUUCAAAAUUCUGACAACACUUUCGAAAUUCUCUCACCAUCGUUUGUUUUGAUAUUGACUUCAACGCCGGUGGUGUACAAUCGAAGCGGUCGAAACCAAAAUCGGUCUACCUUGCCGGGCCGGAUGUAGCGGAUUAACGAUUCCUGAAUCGAAAGGAAUCGCUGAUGAAACAAAUCCUUCUUGAGCAGGUUGCUAUUGCAGUCGAAAAAUUUGGAUCGGUUUGGAAGCGACACCAGGGGAGGUUGCGCCGGAGAAAGACGCGUUAUUCUUUUGAAAGAUGAUGGGGUGAAACUGAUUUGACGACGAUGAUCGGAUACUCAGGAGUGUUUUCCUUUUGCGGUUCCAGAGAGGAUUUUAUUUGGCGUAGUACUUUUGAAGAUUCACUGUCAAGCGAAAACAGCGAAACAUACUGCGGGAAUUGACAACCGUGCAGGUGUUCCAUCAUGUGCGACCGCAACUAAUAGGAAUGGUCAAAGAGCAUCGAGCCAUGUAACAGGAAUCGUGCGAUCUAAUGUGUCUGUAAAGGCACAGGACAAGGGACACCUUAUACCCAAGCUUAUACCUCGAUACGGCGAAGAACGCCUCCUACCGCAGUUUUCACAGUUGUAUCGCCGCUCGUUUGCAUGGUAGUUGAGAUGAUCUUCGAAGCGGCACCAAACUAAAAUGUUGAUGGCCAAGGACCAAAAUAGAAAUUCCUGGGUAUGGGAUACUUCCUGGGUAAGAUUCUUGUUUCUUCGGAACAAAAUUCAAAAGAUGCUAUGUACUAAUAAUUUAUUGUAAAAAAAAUCAAAAUUGAUAAAUAUUCCUGCGCGGAAAAGUGUCCUAACCACA